rnacentral:rRNA from 1 species
AAGUCGAGCGGACAGAUGGGAGCUUGCUCCCUGAUGUUAGCGGCGGACGGGUGAGUAACACGUGGGUAACCUGCCUGUAAGACUGGGAUAACUCCGGGAAACCGGGGCUAAUACCGGAUGGUUGUUUGAACCGCAUGGUUCAGACAUAAAAGGUGGCUUCGGCUACCACUUACAGAUGGACCCGCGGCGCAUUAGCUAGUUGGUGAGGUAACGGCUCACCAAGGCGACGAUGCGUAGCCGACCUGAGAGGGUGAUCGGCCACACUGGGACUGAGACACGGCCCAGACUCCUACGGGAGGCAGCAGUAGGGAAUCUUCCGCAAUGGACGAAAGUCUGACGGAGCAACGCCGCGUGAGUGAUGAAGGUUUUCGGAUCGUAAAGCUCUGUUGUUAGGGAAGAACAAGUGCCGUUCAAAUAGGGCGGCACCUUGACGGUACCUAACCAGAAAGCCACGGCUAACUACGUGCCAGCAGCCGCGGUAAUACGUAGGUGGCAAGCGUUGUCCGGAAUUAUUGGGCGUAAAGGGCUCGCAGGCGGUUUCUUAAGUCUGAUGUGAAAGCCCCCGGCUCAACCGGGGAGGGUCAUUGGAAACUGGGGAACUUGAGUGCAGAAGAGGAGAGUGGAAUUCCACGUGUAGCGGUGAAAUGCGUAGAGAUGUGGAGGAACACCAGUGGCGAAGGCGACUCUCUGGUCUGUAACUGACGCUGAGGAGCGAAAGCGUGGGGAGCGAACAGGAUUAGAUACCCUGGUAGUCCACGCCGUAAACGAUGAGUGCUAAGUGUUAGGGGGUUUCCGCCCCU